UUGUAGCCCUGGCUAUGGUAUAAGGAUGAGGCAGACGUGGUGAGUAAUGUAUAGGAAUCUACCUAGUAGUACGGAAUAAUUGUUGGAAACGACAACUAAUACCGUAUACGCCCUACGGGGGAAAAAUUUAUUGCUAUUAGAUGAGCCUAUAUUAGAUUAGCUAGUUGGUGGGGUAAUAGCCUACCAAGGUAAUGAUCUAUAGCUGAUCUGAGAGGAUGAUCAGCCACACUGGAACUGAGAUACGGUCCAGACUCCUACGGGAGGCAGCAGUGGGGAAUAUUGGACAAUGGGCGAAAGCCUGAUCCAGCCAUGCCGCAUGAGUGAAGAAGGCCUUUGGGUUGUAAAGCUCUUUUAGUGAGGAAGAUAAUGACGGUACUCACAGAAGAAGUCCUGGCUAACUCCGUGCCAGCAGCCGCGGUAAUACGGAGAGGGCUAGCGUUAUUCGGAAUUAUUGGGCGUAAAGGGCGCGUAGGCUGGUUAAUAAGUUAAAAGUGAAAUCCCGAGGCUUAACCUUGGAAUUGCUUUUAAAACUAUUAAUCUAGAGAUUGAAAGAGGAUAGGGGAAUUCCUGAUGUAGAGGUAAAAUUCGUAAAUAUUAGGAGGAACACCAGUGGCGAAGGCGUCUAUCUGGUUCAAAUCUGACGCUGAAGCGCGAAGGCGUGGGGAGCAAACAGGAUUAGAUACCCUGGUAGUCCACGCUGUAAACGAUGAAUGUUAAAUAUGGGGAGUUUACUUUCUGUAUUACAGCUAACGCGUUAAACAUUCCGCCUGGGGACUACGGUCGCAAGAUUAAAACUCAAAGGAAUUGACGGGGACCCGCACAAGCGGUGGAGCAUGUGGUUAAUCGAUGCAACGCG
rnacentral:rRNA from 1 species